UCUGAGUCUGCAGCUGUGAAUGAGCUUGAAGAGGCUAUCUCCUUGGUUACUUGAAGCAUGUGCUAAGAGGGCAGAGAAAACCAGAUAGCUGGGAUAACCACUUCCCUUCAAAUAGAGGAGACAGCCGAGUUCCCCAGAGGAGGCAUCUGAAGCACAAGACAAAAUAAUUUGCGGUGUCACCGAGUCACUGGAGCACCAGAGAGCCACCAUCCCACCAAACCUUCCUCACCAAGAUGCAGGUGAAGCAGAAGGUGCAGACUGACCACUCAGCUACAAGAAAUGACCAUUGAAAGAAAGUAACAGUGAGAUCGCCUGAUCUUUAUCACAGAAGAGAGCAUGAAGAAUAGGUCCCAUCAUAGAGAAUUUGUUUUUGAAGACAGGAGAAACAUCUUCACAGACUCUGGAGGGUACACACCUGUGGAGUAGACAUCAGGGAAAUUCUUAGACAGCUAUUUCGGCAAGCCUCCUGAGAGAGCUCAUGCAACUCCACCUCCCAUCAUCUACACAGCCUGCCUCUACUGACAUAGGGUCAGCAUAGGUUUACUGUAAAUUGUGGAGGUGCCAUGAUCACUAGAAGAGUGACUCUGGUCUUGGAAUCAAGGCAAUACUUCAAUGUGAAGCACCGAAAGAAUAACUGAUGGGGAAAGGAAGAUGCAUGGAACUUCAAAUUAUAUAUACAGAAGGAAAUAAUCAAGCUAUUAUAUAAGAUACAAAAUUGAUUUCUCGUUAUCCUACUUUAUUACAUUUCUACCAGACACAUGAAACUAUCUCUGAAUACACACAUUAAGUAUUUAA